GGCGUGCCUAACACAUGCAAGUCGAGCGAAGCGCUUUACUUGAAUUCUUCGGAAGGAAAGUAUUGUGACUGAGCGGCGGACGGGUGAGUAACGCGUGGGUAACCUGCCUCAUACAGGGGGAUAACAGUUAGAAAUGACUGCUAAUACCGCAUAAGACCACAGCACCGCAUGGUGCGGGGGUAAAAACUCCGGUGGUAUGAGAUGGACCCGCGUCUGAUUAGCUAGUUGGUAAGGUAAGGGCUUACCAAGGCGACGAUCAGUAGCCGACCUGAGAGGGUGAUCGGCCACAUUGGGACUGAGACACGGCCCAAACUCCUACGGGAGGCAGCAGUGGGGAAUAUUGCACAAUGGGGGAAACCCUGAUGCAGCGACGCCGCGUGAGUGAUGAAGUAUUUCGGUAUGUAAAGCUCUAUCAGCAGGGAAGAAAAUGACGAUACCUGACUAAGAAGCACCGGCUAAAUACGUGCCAGCAGCCGCGGUAAUACGUAUGGUGCAAGCGUUAUCCGGAUUUACUGGGUGUAAAGGGAGCGUAGACGGAGAGGCAAGUCUGAUGUGAAAACCCGGGGCUCAACCCCGGGACUGCAUUGGAAACUGUUUUUCUAGAGUGUCGGAGAGGCAAGUGGAAUUCCUAGUGUAGCGGUGAAAUGCGUAGAUAUUAGGAGGAACACCAGUGGCGAAGGCGGCUUGCUGGACGAUGACUGACGUUGAGGCUCGAAAGCGUGGGGAGCAAACAAGAUUAGAUACCCUGGUAGUCCACGCCGUAAACGAUGACAAAGAGGUGUCGGGUGGCAAAGCCAUUCGGUGCCGCAGCAACCCAAUAAGUAUUCCCCCUGGGAGUACGUUCCAAGAUGAAACUCAAAGGAAUUGAGGGGACCCGCCCAAGCGGGGGAGCAUGUGGUUUAAUUCGAAGCAACGCGAAGAACCUUACCUGCUCUUGACAUCCCCCUGACCGUCCCUUAAUCGGGGCUUUCCUUCGGGACAGGGGAGACAGGUGGUGCAUGGUUGUCGUCAGCUCGUGUCGUGAGAUGUUGGGUUAAGUCCCGCAACGAGCGCAACCCCUAUCUUUAGUAGCCAGCGGCCAGGCCGGGCACUCUAGAGAGACUGCCAGGGAUAACCUGGAGGAAGGUGGGGAUGACGUCAAAUCAUCAUGCCCCUUAUGAGCAGGGCUACACACGUGCUACAAUGGCGUAAACAAAGGGAGGCAGAGCCGCGAGGCCGAGCAAAUCUCAAAAAUAACGUCUCAGUUCGGAUUGUAGUCUGCAACUCGACUACAUGAAGCUGGAAUCGCUAGUAAUCGCGAAUCAGAAUGUCGCAGUGAAUACGUUCCCGGGUCU
rnacentral:rRNA from 1 species